rnacentral:rRNA from 1 species
GACGAACGCUGGCGGCGUGCUUAACACAUGCAAGUCGAACGGAGCGAAUGAAAGCUUGCUUUUAUGAGCUUAGUGGCAAACGGGUGAGUAACACGUAGACAACCUGCCGACAGGAUGGGGACAACAUUCCGAAAGGAAUGCUAAUACCGAAUGAAGCGGAGGAGAGGCAUCUCUCUUCCGUGAAAGAUGGCCUCUAUUUAUAAGCUAUCACCUGUCGAUGGGUCUGCGUCUGAUUAGCUGGUAGGUGAGGUAACGGCUCACCUAGGCGACGAUCAGUAGCCGGUCUGAGAGGAUGAACGGCCACAUUGGGACUGAGACACGGCCCAAACUCCUACGGGAGGCAGCAGUGGGGAAUCUUCCGCAAUGGGCGAAAGCCUGACGGAGCAACGCCGCGUGAGUGAAGAAGGUCUUCGGAUCGUAAAGCUCUGUUGACGGGGACGAACGUGCGAAGGGUGAAUAAACCUUGUAAUGACGGUACCUUCGAGAGCC